CCGUGAUAGACGGGGAAUUAGCGAUGCCCUGUAACCUGCGAUUCGCUACAGCGGGGUUGAAUUCCCAUCAGAGGGUGCAUAUUGUACAGUCUGCCCCAAGUGUGUGAUGUUGAUGGUAGGGUCCUGCGCAAUAUAUGCUUGUGAACCGUGUCAGGUCUUGACGGAAGCAGCACUAAGCAAGAUUUUAUAUGUGCCGUGGGAGCGCCUUAUCUGAGUUAACUGCUUGGGUACCGUGUAUGGUCUGGAUUCGAAGACGGGUUCACGG
rfam:Peptoniphilus sp. ING2-D1G genome assembly, chromosome: I